UACGUAGGGUGCGAGCGUUGUCCGGAAUCAUUGGGCGUAAAGAGCGUGUAGGCGGCCCGGUAAGUCCGCUGUGAAAGUCCAGGGCUCAACCCUGGGAUGCCGGUAGAUACUGUCGGGCUCGAGUCCGGAAGAGGAGUGUGGAAUUCCUGGUGUAGCGGUGAAAUGCGCAGAUAUCAGGAGGAACACCAAUGGCGAAGGCAGCACUCUGGGACGUGACUGACGCUGAGACGCGAAAGCGUGGGGAGCAAACAGG
rnacentral:rRNA from 1 species